rnacentral:misc_RNA from 1 species
UCAUUCUAGCUGCUACGCUGCUACAUGCUAUGGAUCGAUUAAGCGGCUCUGGGACACAAAGUGGGGUAGACUGACGAGUUCGGCCCGUUUGGCGGUUGGACAGUUUGGCCAGUUUGGCUUUCAUUUCUAAACCAGCUCAGCUUUCUGCACAAGUAGUUCGCUGUCAGAGCGUCCAGCUGUUAUCGGCAGUCAGUGUGGUGCCCUCGUACCAGACAGAGCAUGUAACCUACGGUCAGAAAGAGACGGUGUCGCGAUGGUGCCAUCACGAAUCUUCGCGCACUAGGGCCAUCCAAGUGACCUCGACAACGGAGCUGCCGCGCGACAGUGCCAGCCGUGCCCGCGGCUAACCGCAUGGCCAGGUCGACGACGGCGGCUCCCGACGCCAAGCAUCCGCAGGACGACGAGGCCGAUGUGUGCCUGGGCAACUUGGGAGCCGAGAACGAGCAGAUUGUGACCAACGUGCUCUCCUACUUCAAGGAAGAGGCGACACGCAGCCGGCUCCUGUGCCCGCUGAAGAGGGUCUGCCGGCGCACGGCCCAGGCGACGGGCCUGAGCAAGAGCGCCGUCGUGGGCGCUCUCGGAGAUCGGGGCCCGUCGCUCACGCCCGAGCUGGAGUCCGACGACGCCGCCGGGCUGCACAGACUCGCCGGCGACGCGGCGGGCCUGUGCGCCCUGCGCCGACAGAUCCUGUUCCACUGCGCCAACUACGGCAAGCCGCCCUCGUUGAGGGUGGUGUGCGACAUGAUCCGCGAGCAGUGCAACGCGUCGUGCACGCGAAGCGCGGCCGUCACGCUGCUGGAUCGGCUGGGGUUCAGGCUCCGGAGGCUGCCCGGCAGCAACGCGAGGCUCCUGCUCGAGGACUCCCAGCAGGCUGCAGCGCGGGUGGGCUUCCUGCGCAAGCUGCGCGAGUUCCGGACGGAGGGCCGGGAGGUGGUGUACCUGGCGAGCAGGCAGCUGCCCCAGCGGGGUGCCGGGGGGGGCCUGCUCCUGGUGCACGCGGGCCACCUGGCCCAGCUGCUGCCCCUGCGGGACAUGCUGCGGGCGCACGGGCCCCCCGGGGCGGCCGUGUCCCAGGAGGACCUGCGCUGCUGGCUCGUGCGCAAGCUCGGCCCCUUCCUGCCCAAGGAGAGCGCGGUCGUCGCCUUCCAGGUCUGCCUCCUGCCGCGAGUGCCCUACGUGCCCUUCUACCGGGUGCUGGCGGAAGGGGGCGGCGGCUUCUGGCUGGACAAGGUGCUGGAGGAGCAGGGCCACGCCGUGCUGCGGCCCCCGCCCCAGCUGCUGGACCUGAACCCCAUGGAGAACGUCUGGUGCACCCUGCACGAGCAGCUGGGGGACGUGGGGGGCGGGGCAGGGGCCCUGUCCCUGCUGGCGGAGCUGGCCGGGUCGGCCUCCCUGCACCUGGCCCUCAUGCGCACCUGGACCCAGAGCCUGGCAGACGUGCAGGAGGCCGAGGACGCCCUGCUCGAGUGCAGCCUCGAGGUGGACUCCAAGCUGGAAACCCUCCUGCUGACGGAAAAAGUCCCGGGCACCGAAUCGGACGACGCCAGCGACAUGGACACGGACUGCGACGAGCCCGAAGCGCCGCCCGCCAAUUGCGACGUUCCCGCCACGGCGUCGCCUCCCGCUGAUCCGACGGACGAGCACCCUCCGCAAGAGGGUGCCACCGUCCCUUCGGACGAGCCGGCCGCCGAUCCGCAGAGGAGCGCGGAGGCGGUGUCCCCGCCCGUCGAGGUUCCACCACCCAACGACACUCUGGCGAGGCUCGAAGACUUUGCCUGGAUCCACUCACACGUGGACCCCUCCGUGUGGAGCGACGUCACGCAACUCGUCUCGGAAGUGCGAGAGUUUCCCGGAUUGACUCAGUGACUCGGGCAAUCUGCUCGCAAGGAAGCGGCAACGGCGGAGUGCGCGAGUUUCCUCGAUGCUCGGUGAUACGACUAAUUAUCUCGAGAUAUUCUCGAUAGAAAUGGAAAGAAAAGAAGUCCAACUACUUUUUGUUGCGGACGGAGCUGUUGCUGUGGCGGUACCGAGGAAUCCGCGGCCUCGGCCAUGGAGCGUUAUUGCGCUCCCUGGCCGUUGGGGCCGCAGCCUCCGCAGUUUCCAGAAUUAUCGUUAGACGGAGAGCACAGAGCCCUCGUCCAGGACACGUCCUCGCUGUUCUCCCCACCAGACCUGCCGGUGGGCCACGGCAGAUUGCCCUGUCGGAAUGCAAGAUUGUGCUCUUCGGACGCGACGGAGGAGCCUGGGCGUAGCCAUUCGUCCUCCUCCUCGCAUUUUCUUUGGUCUCUCACUCGCAUUCUCAACGUGAAGGUUGAAAAUAAAACGGCGAGUGGAGGGAGUGAACCUGGUCACACCCUUCUGGAAGUCUUGGAGCCCGAUUGGUGCACUCGCCUCCAGGCUGCUGGGCCCAAAUCACGCCCGACGCUUCGUCGACGUCGUUUCUGCAUACAUCUGUGAUAGGCGCGAGGCCUCCAAGGCGGCCAUGGAGACAUAAAGACAAUAAAACGUGCGUGGUUGUGAUUCACCUCUAGUUUU